GCCGCUUUCUCCGCCGUGUGUGGACGCCACCAAAACGGAGAACUAAGAUUAAAUCGCGUCCUAAGCAUGUAGACGCCUUCGGGAAAUCUUCUCAGGACCCGGGUUCGACUCCCGGCGCCUCCACCA
rnacentral:tmRNA from 1 species